GAUGAACGCUAGCUACAGGCUUAACACAUGCAAGUCGAGGGCCCGGCGCACGGGUGAGUAACACGUAUCCAACCUGCCCUUUACUCGGGGAUAGCCUUUCGACAGAAAGAUUAAUACCCGAUAUAAAGGACGGGGAUGCGUUCCAUUAGGUUGUUGGUUAGGUAACGGCCCACCAAGCCUUCGAUGGAUAGGGGUUCUGAGAGGAAGGUCCCCCGCAUUUGAACUGAGACACGGUCCAAACGCGUACGGGAGGCAGCAGUAAGGAAUAUUGGUCAAUGGGCGCUAGCCUGAACCAGCCAAGUAGCGUGAAGGAUGAAGGCUUAUGGGUCGUAAACUUCUUUUAUAUAAGAAUAUGUAUUAUAUGAAUAAGGAUCGGCUAACUCCGUGCCAGCCGCCGCGGUAAUAC
rnacentral:rRNA from 1 species